rnacentral:rRNA from 1 species
AUUGAACGCUGGCGGCAUGCUUUACACAUGCAAGUCGAACGGUAACAGGCCGCAAGGUGCUGACGAGUGGCGAACGGGUGAGUAAUGCAUCGGAACGUGCCCAGUCGUGGGGGAUAACGCGGCGAAAGCUGCGCUAAUACCGCAUACGAUCUAUGGAUGAAAGCGGGGGACCGUAAGGCCUCGCGCGAUUGGAGCGGCCGAUGUCAGAUUAGGUAGUUGGUGGGGUAAAGGCUCACCAAGCCAACGAUCUGUAGCUGGUCUGAGAGGACGACCAGCCACACUGGGACUGAGACACGGCCCAGACUCCUACGGGAGGCAGCAGUGGGGAAUUUUGGACAAUGGGCGCAAGCCUGAUCCAGCAAUGCCGCGUGCAGGAAGAAGGCCUUCGGGUUGUAAACUGCUUUUGUACGGAACGAAACGGUCCUGGUUAAUACCUGGGGCUAAUGACGGUACCGUAAGAAUAAGCACCGGCUAACUACGUGCCAGCCGCCGCCGCAGUAA